GAUGAACGCUGGCGGCGUGCCUAACACAUGCAAGUCGAGCGAUUCUCUUCGGAGAAGAGCGGCGGACGGGUGAGUAACGCGUGGGUAACCUGCCCUGUACACACGGAUAACAUACCGAAAGGUAUGCUAAUACGAGAUAAUAUGCUUUUAUCGCAUGGUAGAAGUAUCAAAGCUCCGGCGGUACAGGAUGGACCCGCGUCUGAUUAGCUAGUUGGUAAGGUAACGGCUUACCAAGGCGACGAUCAGUAGCCGACCUGAGAGGGUGAUCGGCCACAUUGGAAAUGAGACACGGGCCGAACUCCUACGGGAGGCAGCAGUGGAGAAUAUUGCAAAAUGGGCGAAAGCCUGAUGCAGCAACGCCGCGUGAGCGAUGAAGGCCUUCGGGUCGUAAAGCUCUGUCCUCAAGGAAGAUAAUGACGGUACUUGAGGAGGAAGCCCCGGCUAACUACGUGCCAGCCGCCGCAGUAA
rnacentral:rRNA from 1 species